rnacentral:rRNA from 1 species
CUUCCGUAAGGGGAACCUGCGGAAGGAUCAUUAGAGAACCUGGGCCUGCGCUACUUGCGCGGCUCCAACCAAUACACAGUGUGUUAUACUUCUUUUGCUUUGGCUCUGCCAAAGGUUUUAAACACAGAAAUUUAUUUUCUUUAAGAACAGUCAAUUUGAAAUUUUAAUCUUCAAAACUUUCAACAACGGAUCUCUUGGUUCUCGCAACGAUGAAGAACGCAGCGAAAUGCGAUACGUAAUGUGAAUUGCAGGUUUUCGUGAAUCAUCGAAUCUUUGAACGCAUAUUGCGCUCUCUGGCAUUCCAGAGAGCAUGCCUGUUUGAGCGUCAUUUCUCUCUCAAGAUCCUCUAGGGGACUUGGUAUUGAGUGAUACUCUGUGUUAACUUGAAAUACUCUAGGCAGAGCUCCCCCCUGGAAAUCCUCUGGGCCGAAAUAAUGUAUUAGGUUCUACCAACUCGUUAUUUUCCAGACAGACUUCCAGGCAGAGCUCGGCUUAACAACCUUUCUAAGCUUGACCUCAAAUCAGGUAGGACUACCCGCUGAACUUAAGCAUAUCAAUAAGCGGAGG